GCAUUCCACGGGACAUGAUGCUGGCCUUCUACAGUGCUGAUCAGACCUAGUAAGCACAAAGUCGCAAAUAUCCCAGACACCCUGACCACAGACACACAUGUAUACCAAGGACAGGAAUAAAUACCUAAAACUGUAAGGCACUGCCACCUUCUUAGAUGUCUUGGUGAGAGGUCCACUGUUCAGAGGGCACACUGAGAUAUAAGGCGAAGGCCUUUUUGGAUCUGUAGUGUGCUACCUCUUUAAUGGGAAAUCUUAGAGGCUAUCAGUAUUGAAUGGUGACCAGAGGAAAAUACUGCUCUACAUAUAGGUCUGGGCUGUCAUACAAACUGAUCUGCUACUGGGGCCUCAUGACCUAGCAGAUCCAAAAGUAUUCAACAUGUUUGUGGCAGAUGCAAAUGCUGUUUAGAACCUUCGAGAGGUCGCUGUAGAAGCACAAUGCAAAACUUCAGGAUUUUGGAGCAAAACUUUGUCAUCUUUUGCACACACAGUGUUCUCUUUUGAUAGCUCCUGGUGUGCUACUGGACCUUAGUAGAGAUAGAAUGUCUGACUCUGAGCCACUAAGUAACCAUUCAACCUCUUCUGCCCUUCAAGAACUGGGAAAUGUCUGAAAAAACAAGUAAUGAAACGUGUGUAUAGCAGCACUCCAUUACAAGUUGUAGUUUUAUAUACGAGAUUGGUCUCAAGCAAGACCUAAAGGUAAAAGUAAGAGGCUCAGAUUUGCAUGGCUCCUCCUCUUGCUGCAUUAACUGCUGUCUCUCAACGCAAGCAUACUGUAACAUAUUGAUGGAGGAGGAAAAUGCUGAGUCUCGUUUACUGAUAAUUCUAUGUAACAUGCUGGCAUCACCUAAAGUGGAGAACUGCGAGAUUACUGCCCCAUCCAAGAAAACCCUUCAGCAGCCCCAUUCUUCAGGAACCGUGAAGGACUAUGGCAAAGAACUAUCUGAUGAUGAAACGACCCAGACUCAAUUUUCCCAACUUCAGAGCCUUUUCUAUCCAUGAUCCCUCAUUCCUGCCUUUCUUGCCAUUCCUGUCCUGUCUCUCAACCUGACAAUGAAGCAUUUAUAUCGGAUCAAAUGAAACUCGCAUACUUUCUGUGACUUAAAAUCAGAAGUUUCCCUUGUCAAUUUCCCUUGCCACCUCUAAGAAAAGCUUAUCUAUGUUAAGUUC
rnacentral:lncRNA from 1 species